ensembl:lncRNA
UUCCAGGUACACAGGACUAUUCAAUUCUACAGCUGCUUCCCACCCUUCCCCUCCAUGGAUGCUCCACGUAACUCUACCAAUUAAGGUACUUUGGUGGCAAGUGGUUUUCCUAUGGUAAAAGGUCUCCUGAAGGACACCUUGCUGGGAAGGUCUUCUCUCUGACAUCCACUCAUGAAGCUCUACGACUUCCUAAGGUCCUUUGAUAUAGGCUGCUGUCACCAAAUUCCAACACCAGUGAGAAGAACUGAGCUAUGCUGGAGACGCAUUUAUCACCUGAAAUCUCUUGCCACCAGCACCUGAGCUGAACAAUUACACUCUUAAUAACAACUUCCAGCCAUCACCUCUGGUCACUCCUUCCCACCUUCGCUCUCCAUGGGUGUGCAGAGUUACAGCUGUGAUGGAAAGCAGUCCUGCAUGGAAACAGAAGGGAAGGGCGGAUGGGCUCUGAUUGGAAAAGCAUACACACAUGUGCAUGGAGCAGGCAGGGAGGUGAUAAAACGCACCUAUCUGUGGGGAAGGAAGGACUACAUUAAGCACAAAGAGAGAGGGAAAGAAGAAAAACACAGCUAUUGACCCAGUCUCCACCAAGCCUGCAGCUAUAGAAAGAGCUGCCUCCUGUCCAUGCCAGACAUGUGCAGCACCUUCUGCCUCGCUGAGCGCUUUUCAUUUUGGAAAAAUUAACAGAAAAAUAAUGAUAAUGAAAACCCUCUGUGGCUUUCUCAGCUCCGCUGCAAGGAAUGGGAUCCAGACAAACUGCUGGAGGGGAGGAAGGCUUUUGGAUUCUGCGUUUUAUUUUAUUAGGUGUAAGUGAGUUAUUUUGAUUACGUUGGCAAGAAGUGGGAAUAAAAAAGCCUUAUGUAGCA